CUGUGCUUGCACGGACAACACGAGUGGCGAACGGGUGAGUAACACGUAGGAACCUUCCCUGAAGAGGGGGACAACCCUGGGAAACUAGGGCUAAUACCCCAUAAUACAGAAAUGUUAAAGAUUAGUUUACUAAUCGCUUCGGGAUGGGCCUGCGGUCUAUCAGCUUGUUGGUGGGGUAAUGGCCCACCAAGGCGGCGACGGAUAGCCGGCCUGAGAGGGUGGUCGGUCACACUGGAACUGAGACACGGUCCAG
rnacentral:rRNA from 1 species